UCCAACGGACCAAUAGAAACUUUUAUCCCACCCUAAUCGUCAUGUUAUUUGUCUCUUUACAACCACGCAUCGGGGGCAAAACAACGGGUUUGACAAAGUGUCGGUGAGCACGGAGCAGGUAACUGUCAGUCAUUCAAGCGAGACAAGAACAUAAGGCAGAAGAGCAGAUCCCUGAGGUUUACACGCGUGAUGCGUUGACGGGUGAACUGCCGUGAUGCGCCACCACUCAAACCCACAGACGAGCUCGCUGAAGACCCGGAACCCUGAGUGAACAAAGACACGCACAGCCGGAAACUUACAGAACAAAAAAAAAAAAUAAGGGAGAGAGAGAUCUUGUACCUCUGCAUCAGUGCCAAGAGCAGCUGGUCCAGCUGCUCGAAGAACUUCAACUGUGCGCGAACAUCAGUCACCUGCUCAAACCGGGCAUCCUCCUGCGCAGCACAUGGCCAUGCAAAUAGACAGAUUAAUGAAGGAAACUGCAAACAAAUACAGCUGCAUUUUCAUACACACAACUCUUAGCAUGUACACGGUGUAUGAAGACGGCAACAACAGCCAAACUGCAGCUGCUCUCUAGUGAAAACAUGAACAUUUCCAUUUGCAAAACACGAACACACAACGCACUUUGAUACACACCUUAUAGUUCAUGUUCUUUUGCUGUGCAAUGACCGUGACCUUUUCUAGAAGGUUCUGGAGUCUCUGCUGAGUAGCGUGAGACACCAGGUUCACCACCUCAGAGCCCAGAUCCGUCACUCCAAACCGUUUACCUGCACACGAGUUACACAGUCAGCUUUUUUCUCCAUCUUGUUGAGUACGUGUUCACCAAAAGCACCACACUUUACACUGUGUUAUAAAAUGCACAGAAAACGCACCCAUUGUAACAUGUACAGUUUCUAUAAAACCAAAUCACACAAACCAUGGGAGGGAAUAUACAAUUUAUAGCGGUUAUAAUUUACAAGACAACAGGACAGGAUUAGCUGUUUUGCAAACGUUCAACAACAACAGUAAAGACUUCAGGAUCUGCGGCUAUAGGAAAAUGAUCAACUUCAGAGGGAAGGGUGGAAGUAACUCUGCUUCAUCACACCAUCCAGUCACUGGUUAUUUUUCUGUAACAGGAAGUCUAUACUUUAUUCCCUGCAUAAGAUGGUCUCACAGUCGGGAAUUACGUGUUAAAAUGUACUUUUGUUAGAUCUACAAAUGUGAGUAGAUACGAUCUCUUUGGAAUGUAAGAAACCUAUUAAAAUGACAGAUUGAUUAGAAUCCUUAGGCAUUUUAAAUCCCCUCGGGUGUCCUUUUUAUCCAAGUCUUUUGGAGUUGGGACAGCUAUCCGAUGCUUGUCUACUAACCAGAAAGAGCUUCAAAUAAAAUACACCUCAACUGUAGAAUUAUAUAUAUACAUUUUUCUUUUCAUGCAAAAACUUUGGCUUCUGGGAUAAAGGUGACAUCACUGUGAAAUAAGGGAAAUUAUAAAUACCCCAAAUGACUAAAAUUGGUAAUGCUGACUAUUUGAAUAGCUUUUACUGUCACACAGGACACUGGAAAUUUGAGACAGACCGAUGUCCAGUAUCCUGCGCUGAAGUGCGGCUGAGAAAAGAAAGGCUUCAUCCUUGCACGAGCGAGUCACGGCCCCCACUAACUCAGAGUUGGUGGCCAGGAUUCGUGCACUCUCCUCCGACAGAUUCACGCCGGCCAUGGAGGCUACGUCGUUGAUAUCGUCGUCAUCCCUACACACACACACACACACCCCUUAUGUAUUCCAAUGCAAAAUAAAUUUGAAUGGUCAAAUGUU